GGAUGAGAUCAUACCAGCACUAAAGCACCGGAUCCCAUCAGAAAUACAAAGUUAAGCAUGCCUCCUGGGAAGUCCUCAUAUUGCAUUUC
rnacentral:rRNA from 1 species